GGAUUAUAAAUUAAAAAAAAACUUGAAAAGAUUUGUCCAUUUUAAAGGUAUUCUCAAAGAACCAAACUUUUAUUGAUUAUAUCUGCUGAGUGGUUUUCCUGACUGAUUUUCCAGUGCUUUUCUGUCUGAAUUCUUUUCUGGGUUUCAGGAUAUAUUUCUUGGUUCAGAAAAGUCUUAAGCCGAGGAGCACACGUGUGGAAAGGAACGUUUGUUCAGCAAACAUUGAGUCCCUGUAUUAUGCUUGCUGGGGAUUUCAGGGGCAAGACCGGGGCCUGACUCCACAGGACCACAUGAUUCUAGCCUAGUGGGAAGACUAAGAAAAUAGACAAUUGCAAAUUCCAAAAACAAAACAAAACAAACAAACAAAAAAGGCUUUUGUGGCCCUACUCUCCUGUGGAGGCACCUGGAUGAUAAAUGAAGCCAAGAUUAUUGCUUAUUUUGCUCUCCCUUAGAAACCAGCUUUCUGUCAUAGGUCAAGCUUGCUUAAAAGUCACAAAUAGGCCUCCCUCUGAAAGAUCUCUGACCCUUCCCAGCAGGGAGCCUGUAGCCCAACCCCUCCCAAGGUGACUGCCAAAUCAGCAUUCUCUGCCCAACAGCACUCGCCACCUUACCAAGGCAGCACCGGCAGCACCCUGCCCUCUCUUCCUGAAACACCUUUCAGGAAAAGGAAAAGUAGAUGCCUCUUCUGGAACACAGCAGGAGCAUGCUCUCCAGUUCUGCUGGUCUCUGGGCUCCUAGUGUGACAUGGUACCUGCUGGACCCCAUGGGGCCUAGGUCUGGGCUUCUUUAGGAGCUAGUCUGUGUCCUGCUCUGGGCCUUCGUGUCCUUAUAGGUAAAGUGUAGUCUUUGGAGCAAACACAACCUUCCUAGCCCUAAUAUACAGGGAAUCUUUUUUCCUAGGAUCUUAGGAUCCUCCUGGAUACAUUUGAGGAAGGUGACUAAGCUCUGGGAAGGUGGCAGUGCCCUUGCAGGGCAGCCUGCAUAUGCUUUAUGCUUUAGCCAGUGUGCCCUGCUAUGCCUCUGUCAGGAAGCCUUCCUGGAUUUCUUCCCUCACCCUGGAGAUCCGCUUGCCUAAAGCACUUUACUUAGCCCUCUGUUUAAUGCUGGUGUCAGGGCUACGCAACUUUCUUUUGUAAUGAUUGGGCUCCUCUUAUCUUCCAAGGGGGCCUGAGUUGUUAGUAUUCAAUCAGCAGGUCCUUAUCAGACUCCCAUGUAGGAAUGCAGGACUUUGGGCCACAUAGUGGACAAGGUGGAUAGUCCGUGACAUCAAGGAAUCGUCUGGAUGUGUGUGUAUGUGUGUUGUGUACACAUGUAAA